GGCUGCAGGGACAGAGGGGAACCCCUAGAAGGUGCUGCUCCCUUGAGGUGGUUGAUUGACACAAAUUCAUCUUCCUUUCUCUUUUUCAUAACCCGUGGCAUGAUUUUGUAGGGUAUUUUGUUUCAGUUAACACAUGAGCCAGAACUUUUAGAUUUAACUGGAGACCAAGGAACAAGAAGACGGGCUAUACACACAGCUCAGAUGUGUUCCCACACAAAACCUGCUGCUGUGUCUGGAGCAGUUGUGCUGUCGGCUUGCUGGUCAGGACUUGUGAUCUUGUUGCUAUUCAGAGGGACAAAUGGAGACUCUGUGACCCAGACGGAAGGCGUAGUUACCCUCCCCGAGGAGGCAGCACUGCUCCUGAAUUGUACUUACCAGAGUACCUAUUCAACUUUCCUUUUCUGGUAUGUUCAGUACCCAAACAAAGAACCUGAGCUCCUCCUGAAAAGCUCAUCAGAACAUCAAGGGCUGGACAGCAGAGGUUUUCGGGCAAUCAUAUAAAGAGUGAUAGCUCCUUCCACCUGCAGAAACCCUCCGUGCAAACGUCAGACUCUGCUGUGUACUACUGCGCUCUGAGAGACACAGUGGGAAGGACUGCAGGGGGAGCUGAGCACAAACCAGAGCGGGCAGGUGGGGCCUGGAACACUCGCAUCACCAAUGCUAGUGAGGAUGGGAAGCAGCCGGAACCCUCAUUCAUUGUGGGUGGGAAUGCAAAAUGGCACAGCCACUGGGAGAGAUGA